UACAGACAGAGACAGUGAAAUUUAAGCAUGAAUUUCUUUCAGCUGUUUUUCAGCUGAUCCACACAUACCAUCAAAAUUGUUUAUACUUGUUUAUUAGGUUGAAGCUGCUUCACGCACGCGCGUGGUAGUGGUAAAACCGUAUAAAGACUUAUACAAAGUUUUGAUUGUUUGUCUGGAUCAGCUGAAAAACAGCUGAAACAAAUUCAUGAUGAAUUUCCACUG